AGAGCAUUAAGCCAGCUGAGAAAUCUCCAAGGUCAUUUCAAGGACUGAUAUUCCACUCUGUUGCUUUCCUUGAGAACUUGUGACUUUCGACGCUGUACAGCCUGAGACUGCUGGAAAGAGAGGGUUUUGUGACAGGAGCACCUGGAGCUCCCUAGAGGGUUUAGUCUUGAUCAAGGGCAAGAGAACCCUUGGGGCAGCCAGAGACUGAGCAGCAGGGAUUCAGACAACUCUUGGCAACUGUAAGGAGCUGGCUGCAGCAUUGAAGGGAGAAUUUCACAGUGCGAAUUUUGAACUCUGCUUGGGAACCUCUUUGAAGAUCAGCCAGAAGAUGAUGGAAGUGCAAAUAACAUGCAGAAGCUCAAGGCUGUCCUUCUGUAGUUCAUGCUGAGCCGGCAGUCAUUCUCCCAACAUGACAGAAGUCAGAUUACCCUGAGCAUCAGCCUUUUACAGCACAGAACAUGGGACUUCAUUAAAUCUCAGCAUUUGCAUAUUCAUGAAGAAACUGCAGGAUGGAAAGAGAAGCCAGAUACGCACUUAUUAGAGCUGGUUACAAGAAAAGCCACGGAAAGGCGAAGAUGUCUCUCCAGACAUGUGUCUGACACGUGGAAUCUUGGCUCCAAAUUUGGACACCCCAUUCAGCAAAAGGAAGGCCUGCAGGUAAACAGACCCAGCUUCCUCUGGAAAUAGAUGAUUGACUAUUGUUACUAGACCAUAGCCGUUGUGGGAAAAGAAGGCUGAGAGGACCUCUUCCCACUGUCAGUCUCCCUGAGGACAGCUAUGGUGAAUAAGAAAUCCUUAACACUCUUCCAGCAAUGAUUAGUAUUCCAACAAUGAUUUAGCAACUUUUAUAGAUUGAGGUCUGGGAAGCUGCCAGGCUCGUUCAUCUCGUAAUCAGCUCUGGAUAUGUGGAUGUGGAGGAGGCUCCCAUAAGCCCAGGUAAGCACUUUUUAUGUAUCUUAAGAACAGACUGACAUAAAGUGGUUUUCAACUGGUCUCGUUCAUCAUUCUUCACUCUUCCCAGCUUCCUGUGGUGCAUAAUAUGAUCCCACCUGGAUCGUACCAUUGCCUCUAAUUGUUCCACUCCCCAAACCCCUGGCUCAAAUGGGCCACUCAGACUCCACCUUCCUCUGCUUUUACGUGCUUGUCCAACCACGCCCAGCAUGAGCAUCACAUGAGAACUGAGUCCUCCAGCUUUUUCAUCCUCUUCUUUCUCUCCACACGCUUCCUUCUUCCUCUUGUAGCACAGGGUCCAUCAUACUGUUUCUUGACCAUAUCCUAAGGUCUUCCUACGUGAUCAGAUAUGUCUCAUUUUUUUUUUAUUUAAUAGCCUCUGGAUUUUUAGUCUUGCUUAAGAAGUUCAACAUCAUCUCUGGUUUGCACCUGUAGUUUCCUAGAUCUCCUCACAAAACUUUUAUUCUGUUAAUUUUACCCUUCCCACUUUAACUCCUCUGAAACCUAUCUUCAUGUCUUUAAGGUAAAGGCUAAUAUUCUUUUCAUCCAGAUGGAAAUUUACUUUUGCAGACACUCAUUAUAACAUAACAAACCCUUUCCCAAUGAAUUUAACUGCCACAUUAAGUUCUCAUGUAUUUUUG
ensembl:lncRNA